rnacentral:lncRNA from 1 species
AUAAUUUCAUUCUUGUGGUUGCCUUCCUUUGCCACUAGAUGGUACUUGUAUGCCUGAGAGACCAAAAUGCUGAUUCAGUUUACCUUCCUGGAAACUGUAUAACCAAUCAGAGGAUCAGGUCAUUGAGAAGAAGAAACUUGCCCAACCUAAAAUGCACCUCUUUAAGAGGACCCAGUAGAAGAGAACUGCCCUUGAAAUGCUAAAAUGGGGAAAACAACUUGAGAAUGUUAUGAGGCAAGACAGACUGACGUGAAAGAUAUUUUCAUCUCUGUGCACUUGGUGCCAACUCAAGGCCAAGUUAGGAAAACAGUCCACGAUGUACUGUAAAGUAAUACUGAAUGGAACAGGUGAGUUAAGAAUGGAGUAAGAAUGGAAAAGUGAGUCAGACAUAAAGUCACAACACCCUGAAUUUGUCCUCAAGAUAAUUAUCAGUGGCAUUAAUUGGCAAAUUUCUGUUACUAUUUAAUAGUAAACUAAUUAAUGCUACAAAUAUUUGCAUUUUGUGAAGAGAACAUUACAAUGUUCUCAGUAUAAAACUAAAUGGGGUAGUGGAAUUUAGUUUCAAACUCCGACCUAUCUCUUAAAUCACUCAUUUCUAUUUCAAGCUGAAGGAGAGAAAAAAUAUUGUGCAUGAAACCUAUAAGAAUUUAGAGUGCUUAUCAGGAAAAGGAGAGUGUUCUGCUAGUAAGGGCUUUAUUUAAAUUUACUAAGGGAAAGUGUAUUUUCUGCUUCUAUGGCAAUUUUUCUGUAUGACUUUCUAACAAAAAUGAAAUCUUUCUGUCCAAAAUAGGUGAGUGCCUUAAACAAGAGAGCCUAUAUCAUAGUCUUUGAUUGUUGAUCCUGUUUUUACAUGACCU